UACGAAGGGGGCUAGCGUUGCUCGGAAUUACUGGGCGUAAAGAGCGUGUAGGCGGCCAGAUAGGUCCGUUGUGAAAACUGGAGGCUUAACCUCCAGCUGUCGAUGGAAACCAUCUGGCUAGAGUCCGGAAGAGGAGAGUGGAAUUCCUGGUGUAGCGGUGAAAUGCGCAGAUAUCAGGAAGAACACCCGUGGCGAAGGCGGCUCUCUGGGACGGUACUGACGCUGAGACGCGAAAGCGUGGGGAGCGAACAGG
rnacentral:rRNA from 1 species